rnacentral:rRNA from 1 species
UAUUGGACAAUGGGCGCAAGCCUGAUCCAGCCAUGCCGCGUGGGUGAUGAAGGCCUUAGGGUCGUAAAGCCCUUUCGGCGGGGAAGAUAAUGACGGUACCCGCAGAAGAAGCCCCGGCUAACUUCGUGCCAGCAGCCGCGGUAAUACGAAGGGGGCUAGCGUUGCUCGGAAUCACUGGGCGUAAAGCGCACGUAGGCGGCUUUCUAAGUCAGGGGUGAAAUCCUGGAGCUCAACUCCAGAACUGCCUUUGAUACUGGGAAGCUUGAGUUCGGGAGAGGUGAGUGGAACUGCGAGUGUAGAGGUGAAAUUCGUAGAUAUUCGCAAGAACACCAGUGGCGAAGGCGGCUCACUGGCCCGAUACUGACGCUGAGUGCGAAA